CGGGGAACUCGGAGACAGGUUGCUGCAUGGCUGUCGUCAGCUUGUGUCGUGAGAUGUUGGGUUAAGUCCCGCAACGAGCGCAACCCUUGUCUUUAAUUGCCAGCAUUCAGUUGGACACUUUAAAGAGACUGCCGGUGUUAAGCCGGAGGAAGUGGGGAUGACGUCAAGUCCUCAUGGCCUUUAUGCCCAGGGCUACACACGUGCUACAAUGGGGGGUACAGAGGGUUGCGAACCUGCAAGGGGAGCUAAUCCCAGAAAGCCCUCCUCAGUUCGGAUCGGGGUCUGCAACUCGACCCCGUGAAGCCGGAAUCGCUAGUAAUGGCGGAUCAGCAUGCCGCCGUGAACUGCGUUCCCGGGCCUU
rnacentral:rRNA from 1 species